CCCAGCCAAACCACCAGUCAAGCAGAGAAGAGAAGGACAUAUCUAGCAUAACAAAUUGAGUGAUUGGGAUAACGAUUUUUGAGGGGAAAGGAAUGGAGGUGAUGGUGAGGAUUCUCAACAAUAAACCCCCAAACAGGAAGAACCUGCUUUUUAGAAUCUCCGUCCUCUGUAUUCCUCUGAACGGCGUUAAGUGUUCUGCUUGCUGUACACUCCAUUUCGAUUUCUAAGAGACACGGCGCCCAAUGACAACAACAGCAAGACACCCAAUGGAGCAGGUAACUCAGGACACUGUGAAGAAGUCCAGGAACAAGGAUGGGGUGUAGGUUAAGUCAUGUGCUGAUUUGGAUUACCCUGGGAUUAAAAUGAGGGGGGAAGCCACCUUACAUUGUUCACGUGAUGUUGUUCCAAACUUCAAUAAAAAUCAGGUUGCAUUACCUUUCCCAAAUAUCACACUCAGCUCUCAGUAGUCCCCACGUCCCAAAGAGAUGUUUGCAAAGCCGCUAGAUGUCUUGCCUUCUCAUCGAAACAUAGGCAGAAGCCUUCCCUGGCCCCUGGUGACCCAAUGGCCCGAAGGAGAAAUGAGGUGGCUGGAGGAGGUCCCAGCAGAGGAGAGGAUCUCGGACUAGUGCAGGUCAGGGAGGAAAAAAACAAAUGGAUCUCUCCUCGGGGACCUCUGUUCACUCCUCUCAGGCACUGCCCCUGCCUUCUCAGAGAAUGGGAUCUGCUUGUUUGCGAAUCCAAAGCACCAAGUGGGUAGCACAAUGCGAUGUUUGUAAAUAUGAUAAACCAUUACAAUAUUACAGCUUUUCAUUUGGAAAGCCAUUUAGGCAAGAAAUGAUUACUGACCCAUGAUAUGUAAAUGACGGAAAGGCAGACAUUAGUAUUUGGGUCAACUCGUGUAUUUUUCAACCAUGAAAUGAAAAUCUCAGUGUUCACAUUCCAAUUCAUACAUGAAAGCAUCACGGUGCUAUUAGUCGACUAUUGUGUUAAUUUAUUAUUGUCUUAGUUAAUGUUUUCAGAGCCACCACGAAGUUCUGUCUCUACUUUCAUUGCACCAAUGUUGCAACUGAAAGAGGGGAACAUAGUCCUCUGAGCAGGCUGGUUUCCUGAGGGAAUUCUCCUUUAGUUGAGGAGAAACGAAGUGACUCUGAAGGACACGCUGGGGACCUUCUCCCCAAAUAUUUCAAAUACGAGAUCAGUCUAUCACUUCCUUUUCUUUUGAGUUUGCAACACCACAAAUAUGUGUUGAACAAUCAGGGGACCCGUGACAAGUUCCUAGGUGCCAUUGGGGCCACUGAAGAAUCCCCAAAGGACUUUUGUUUCCAAGGUGAAGCAAAUGAGACUCGGUAUGAGAAUAGUGUUAAGAACUCAGGGGGAGAGAAAAUUUAGGGAGGCUUCCCAGAGGAGGUGGAACUCAAGCUGGGUCUGAAGGGCAGUUAGUGUGUUCUAGGGCCAAGGAAGGAGAAAAGCCGUUCCAGGUAGACAGCCAUCGGAAAGCUCCAGAGGAUAGAGUUCCAUGCCAUGUGAGUGGAUGUUCAACCAAGAUGUUCUGCUGAAACAGAAGGUAGAUGGUGAAGAGCCAAAGGUGUAGGAGAUGUCGGGUUACACCAGAAAUUACACGAGGUGGGUCACUGAAAACCAUUCAGAAUGAACCAUCGGAAAACAGCUGGGGCCUCCACAGAUUACAUAGAAAUGCAGCUGGAAGGCCAGCUGGGAGCCAGGACUAGCAAUUUAAGGCUGAGGAAGGAGGGCCUGGAGUGAGGGUGUCUUGCCAUGUGUGUUAGGAGAAAUGGGAAGGAAAGGGUGGUGUGGUAGACCAUGAAUGGAAGGGUGAGGGAUGCAUCUAAAUGCUGCAUGUGGAAAAAUAAAUAAAUAAAUAAAAUAAAUAAAUAAAUAAAUAAAUACUGCAUGCGGAAGAACAGAUUUACUAUCAACCCUUAAAUUCAACGGUUUAAAGAGCAAAAUGAGGAUAGGGUGCAGAAAGUAAGGAAAUGCUGAUGUUUUGCCUUUUAAUCUAAUAAACUGGCUAGAGGGAACUCUCAGUACUUCCAGUGUGCAACUAAAUCUCCUCUUCCUGUAACCUCGCACAUCAUAGCCCCAAGAUUGGGUAGUGCUGAGAUCUUGGGCUCCAUUCAGCCUUGGCCCUUGGAUCUGGGGUGUGCCAACACUGUAAAGACAGGCACUUAGUCAAAUCCUUUGCUUGGGGGUUUCAAGGUCAAAAGAGAUGUCCUGCCUGAGAGGGGAUGUGAGGGCAGGAUAGUUUUGAAUAGGUCGGCUCCACCCAUAGUUCUCAGUGGAGGUAAUACUGCCCCCUACAGAGUGUUUUGGAAACUCCCAGCAGCAUUUUUCAGAUGUUGGAAAACGGGGUGGGAGCCAGGGCUGCGAGAGGUCUGCUGUUCACAGGACAGUCUUACACACUGAAAAAUCAUGCAGCAUCCCACAUGGCUUUUGAAUGUCCUGCCAGGCAUUCCUGUAGGUAAACCUGUUUAUAAUUAUCUAAGCCUAAAACCUAAUUCCAAUUUACAUAUUUUACUGCCCUGUUUAAUACACAUUAAAUUUUCCAUGAAUUUACAACUACCAUGUAUAUUAAGGGAAGAUUAUAUUUUGUUUUGUUCAAAACUUUGCCAAGAAUUGGACACUGAGAAAAUCACGUUGCUGGCAGCAAUGCUGCUGUAUGUGAGUGGCAUUUGUGGCUGUCAUUCCACACAUCGAUGCAAGCAUUUGAUUACUUUUUCAUGCUUUCCAUAUGUACAUGUUUAAAUACACAUUAUUUUAUUACGAAUUACUUUCCUUUUGUUUCUUCUUUAUAUUAUAUUUAGGGUAUUAUAUUAAUUAGAAAAUUGUGUCUACAUAAUACACUGUAUUUAAAAUAUUUAUGCUCUGUGAAUUUUAUUUAAGGAUAGUAAAAGGGGGAGUCAUAAAAUAUUUGUUACAAAAAAGAGAUGUU